AUGUGUGGCUCUGAUGGGGCUAAAGAGGGUUCCGUUGAUCAUGUGGAUUUUGUUGUGGAUGGGAUUGUUUUACUGGAUUCGUUGGCAAGCCCGCUGGUGUCUGCUAGUUGCUCUAAUCUUCCUACCCGCCCUUUGUCUCCCUCACUGUCUAUGAUUGUUGGUUCCCAUAAACAACACCUUUGCACCCUGAAGUUUCUGCCCCUAUCCCCAAGAAAAAAGACUUCGGUCAAGAAAUCCCCCCCUCGCAGUUGUCUUUCUGGGACCUCAAAGCAAUCUUCUGAUGGGCUGUUCCGCAUGCUUGAUGCUUAUCUAGGUGAGGUUGUUGGUGGUGACCACAGUGAGUAUAUUGCGACGUCUCCCACGACACGUUAUACAGCUAUGAAGACUCUUGUUUCUACUGCUCGCAAGAGUAGGCGCCCUUGCAUUGUUGGUGAAUCUGUUCUGGUGUGCAAUGAACGUCGUGCUGCAGACGACCUUGGCUUGUCAGUGAUCAUUGAGCAACUUGGCCAAGAACUCGCCCAACCUGAGGGUGGCCCACAUCAUAAUCAAAGAAGAUGGUGGUGGAUGAGACCGGUGCUGCUUUUGUGA
rnacentral:rRNA from 1 species